GCUCCGGUGGCCUAGUGGUUUGAGCGCCCGCCUCGGAUGCGGGAUGUUGUGGGUUUGAACCCCGGCCGAGUCA